UACGAAGGGGGCUAGCGUUGUUCGGAAUCACUGGGCGUAAAGGGCGCGUAGGCGGCUAUUCAAGUCGGGGGUGAAAGCCUGUGGCUCAACCACAGAAUUGCCUUCGAUACUGUUUGGCUUGAGACCGGAAGAGGACAGCGGAACUGCGGGUGUAGAGGUGAAAUUCGUAGAUAUUCGCAAGAACACCAGUGGCGAAGGCGGCUGUCUGGUCCGGUUCUGACGCUGAGGCGCGAAAGCAUGGGGAGCAAAAGGG
rnacentral:rRNA from 1 species